CUGCUCAUUUCAGUAGCACAUAUACUAAAAAAUUGGAGUGAUACAGAGAAUGGCAUGGCCCCUGGGCAAGGAUGAUGUGCAAAUUCGUGAUGCAUUCCAUAUCAAA
ensembl:snRNA U6 U6 spliceosomal RNA